CGCGUAGGCGGCCCCGUGUGUCGCGUGUGAAAUCCCCCGGGCUCAACCCGGGAAGUGCGCGCGAAACUGCGGGGCUCGAGCGGAGGAGGGGAGAGCGGAAUUCAUGGUGUAGCGGUGAAAUGCGUUGAUAUCAUGAGGAACACCGGUGGCGAAGGCGGCUCUCUGGAAUCCUGCUGACGCUGAGGCGCGAAAGCCGGGGGGAGCAAACA
rnacentral:rRNA from 1 species